GUGAACGCUGGCGGUAGGCCUAACCCAUGCCAGUCGAACGGCAGCACCGUAAGAGCUUGCUCUUACGGGUGGCGAGUGGCGGACGGGUGAGGAAUACAUCGGAAUCUACUUUUUCGUGGGGGAUAACGUAGGGAAACUUACGCUAAUACCGCAUACGACCUACGGGUGAAAGCAGGGGAUCUUCGGACCUUGCGCGAUUGAAUGAGCCGAUGUCGGAUUAGCUAGUUGGCGGGGUAAAGGCCCACCAAGGCGACGAUCCGUAGCUGGUCUGAGAGGAUGAUCAGCCACACUGGAACUGAGACACGGUCCAGACUCCUACGGGAGGCAGCAGUGGGGAAUAUUGGACAAUGGGCGCAAGCCUGAUCCAGCCAUACCGCGUGGGUGAAGAAGGCCUUCGGGUUGUAAAGCCCUUUUGUUGGGAAAGAAAAGCAGCAGGUUAAUACCCCGCUGUUCUGACGGUACCCAAAGAAUAAGCACCGGCUAACUUCGUG
rnacentral:rRNA from 1 species